AGAGUUUGAUCCUGGCUCAGGACGAACGCUGGCGGCGUGCUUAACACAUGCAAGUCGAACGGAGCACCCUUGAUUGAGGUUUCGGCCAAAUGAUAGGAAUGCUUAGUGGCGGACUGGUGAGUAACGCGUGAGGAACCUGCCUUUCAGAGGGGGACAACAGUUGGAAACGACUGCUAAUACCGCAUGACGCAUUUUGAUCGCAUGGUCGAAAUGCCAAAGAUUUAUCGCUGAAAGAUGGCCUCGCGUCUGAUUAGCUAGUUGGUGAGGUAACGGCCCACCAAGGCGACGAUCAGUAGCCGGACUGAGAGGUUGACCGGCCACAUUGGGACUGAGAUACGGCCCAGACUCCUACGGGAGGCAGCAGUGGGGAAUAUUGGGCAAUGGGCGCAAGCCUGACCCAGCAACGCCGCGUGAAGGAAGAAGGCUUUCGGGUUGUAAACUUCUUUUAAGAGGGAAGAGCAGAAGACGGUACCUCUAGAAUAAGCCACGGCUAACUACGUGCCAGCAGCCGCGGUAAUACGUAGGUGGCAAGCGUUGUCCGGAUUUACUGGGUGUAAAGGGCGUGCAGCCGGGCAUGCAAGUCAGAUGUGAAAUCUCAGGGCUUAACCCUGAAACUGCAUUUGAAACUGUAUGUCUUGAGUGCCGGAGAGGUAAUCGGAAUUCCUUGUGUAGCGGUGAAAUGCGUAGAUAUAAGGAAGAACACCAGUGGCGAAGGCGGAUUACUGGACGGUAACUGACGGUGAGGCGCGAAAGCGUGGGGAGCGAACAGGAUUAGAUACCCUGGUAGUCCACGCUGUAAACGAUGGAUACUAGGUGUGCGGGGACUGACCCCCUGCGUGCCGCAGUUAACACAAUAAGUAUUCCACCUGGGGAGUACGAUCGCAAGGUUGAAACUCAAAGGAAUUGACGGGGGCCCGCACAAGCGGUGGAUUAUGUGGUUUAAUUCGAAGCAACGCGAAGAACCUUACCAGGUCUUGACAUCCUGCUAACGAAGUAGAGAUACAUUAGGUGCCCUUCGGGGAAAGCAGAGACAGGUGGUGCAUGGUUGUCGUCAGCUCGUGUCGUGAGAUGUUGGGUUAAGUC
rnacentral:rRNA from 1 species